rnacentral:tRNA from 1 species
GAGAUGGCCGAGCUUGGUUAUGGCGUCAGGUUAAGGCUUCAGUCUUAACACCACGUUUCCUGAUGGGGCAACCCGCGUGGGUUCGAAUCCCACUCUC